rnacentral:misc_RNA from 1 species
UGCCAAUGCCUGUGUCCAC